CCUACGGGAGGCUGCAGUGGGGAAUAUUGGACAAUGGGGGGAACCCUGAUCCAGCCAUGCCGCGUGUGUGAAGAAGGCCCUCGGGUUGUAAAGCACUUUCAGUGAGGAAGAACGCCUGGUGGUUAAUACCCAUCAGGAAAGACAUCUCUCACAGAAGAAGCACCGGCUAACUCCGUGCCAGCAGCCGCGGUAAUACGGAGGGUGCGAGCGUUAAUCGGAAUUACUGGGCGUAAAGCGCGCGUAGGUGGCUUGAUAAGCCGGUUGUGAAAGCCCCGGGCUCAACCUGGGAACGGCAUCCGGAACUGUCAAGCUAGAGUGCAGGAGAGGAAGGUAGAAUUCCCGGUGUAGCGGUGAAAUGCGUAGAGAUCGGGAGGAAUACCAGUGGCGAAGGCGGCCUUCUGGACUGACACUGACACUGAGGUGCGAAAGCGUGGGUAGCAAACAGGAUUAGAUACCCUUGUAGUC
rnacentral:rRNA from 1 species